UCUCAACCAGUUUAUCCUCAUAUGGAGGUCAGCCAGGGAGCAGGGUGCUGUAACUGUAGACAUUCACACCAUUGGUGCUUUGUCCUCCAUUCCACCACCACUGGGUCCAAAUCCGCACCACAUCUGAAGACUCUCAGAGUCUCCAGAUUUGGGGCUUCACCAAAACGCCAUUAUUUCCUGACUUCUGAGGGCCAGCAGUGAGGUUGAAGUCCUGCUCUCCACACAGAAGUCCCGCACGCGUGGGCUGAGCUGCGGUGCUUCCCAUCCCCAUCCCAUCGCCGGGAGCUGCGCUCACAUCCUAAACACCCCGCGAGG
rnacentral:lncRNA from 1 species